AGUCAGAUUAGCUUUAUCUAGUGCUUCUUGUACCACCUGAUCAAUCACCAGAGCAUGUGCUUCCUCUGCCAUCUUAGGAGCAACUCCUCCAUAUCGAGCAAGCAGUUCUGCCUGAGAAGAGAUAACUUGGCUGAGAAUUUCACCAUUGCUAUUAACCACAGCAGCAGCGGUAUCAUCACAGCUCGUUUCAAUGCCUAAAACAACUAAAUUCUCAUUAGAAAUAGAAUUAGAACAAUGAGCUGAAAAAGAUUUGAACCAUUUGGGUUUUACUGUUUUUUGAUGCAAUUGCAA
rnacentral:misc_RNA from 1 species